AUGCAUUGGAAAGUUCUCUUAUUUUCAGGGCCAGAUGGGUUUAAUGUUGAAUUUUAUUUGGCGGCCUGGGACUGGAUAGGAGAUGAAGUCACUCAACUUGUCAUUAACUUUUACACUACUGGUAUUUUGCCUCCACAUAUUAAUGACACUAACAUUGCUCUUAUUCCGAAAAGGCUUGUGCCUCAAGUUCCCAUGGACUAUCGCCCUAUUAGCCUUUGUAAUGUUGUUUACAAAAUCAUUGCGAAGUCGCUUGCUAAUAGGAUCAAGCCUCAUCUUCCUGAUUAUAUCGAUCCUGCUCAACAAGCUUUCAUUGAGGGUAGACGUAUUAGUGAUAACAUCAUUAUUGCCCAGGAGAUUGCCCACUCUUUCUCUCUUAAAUCUUGGAAACACAGUGCUUUCAUGCUUAAGAUAGAUCUAGCCAAAGCUUUUGAUCGUCUAGAAUGGAAUUUUAUUGUGUCUGCUCUUGCUCGUAAAGGGCUGCAUGGUCACUUCAUUAAUUUAACUCAUGCAUGUGUUUCUUCUCCUACGUUCUCUGUGCUGAUUAAUGGACAACCCUCUCACAAGUUUAGGAGCUUUCGAGGUAUUCGUCAGGGCUGUCCGAUGUCUCCUUUUUUGUUUGUUAUUGCCAUCAAUGAAUUAUCUAUUGCUCUCAACGAAGCUCUUGCUGCUCAUCAUUUGCAGGGUAUUUCGCUUGGACCAAAUUGCCCUUCUAUCCACUCUUUGUUAUUUGCAGAUGACUUGUUGGUUUGUGGGCAAGCCAGUCUUCAAGAAGCUCGCACUAUGGCUCAUCUUAUUAAUCAUUUUUGUUCUAUCUCAGGUCAAACUCCAAAUUGGGCCAAAUCAGCCAUUCUUUUCAGUUCUCAUGUUCCUCAAGCUAUGAUGCAGGAUAUUAAGCAGAUUUUCCCUGUUUCUAAUCUGGAUAGCAAUUUCACUCAUCUUGGUCAUGCACUUGUUCUUCCUGCAAAAAGAAGAGCUACUGCAUAUAACUUUGUUCUAGACAAAUUUCUGAAUAAGUUGCCCAUUUAUAAAGCUAACAUGCUUUCUCAUGCUGCCAGACUUGAAUUGAUUCGCUCGGUUUUCUUGGCUAUCCCUGUCUAUUACAUGGCUAAUAUCUUGUUUACGAAGAAAUUCAUUGCUAAGCUUACUGCUGUUAUUAGGAAUUUUUGGUGGACAGGUGUUCGAGAAAAUGACUCAAAAAAGAGUCUUUGCCUUAGAGCAUGGAAGGACAUUUGCAAUUCAAAAGAUGAAGGUGGCUUAGGUGUCAGAAAUUUAAAAGCUAUUAAUGAGAGUCUUCUUAUUUCUGCUGCCUGGAGGUUAGCCAAGUUCCCUUGUUCUCACUUGCAUCUUGUACUUAAGGCUAAGUACUUUCAUGAUGCUUCUAUCUGGACAGCUACUGCUAUUUCUCCCAAAUCAGCUUUCUGGGCCUCUAUUUUGAAAUUGUUGCCUAAACUUAAAGCUCAUUCUUUUUAUCAGUUAUCUGAAGGUAAUAUUUCAAUUUGGAGCACACCUUGGUGCACUCUUUGGAGCUCGGUUCAUGAUCAUCUUAUUGCUCAACAACCUGGUUUUAUAUAUCCUUCUUUAGUUAAAGAUCUUUGGCUUCCAGGUCAAAAAAGUUGGAAUCAUGAUCUUGUUUUCUCCCUUUUCCAGCAACCUUUGGCCUCUCUCAUUGUUCAAACUGAAAUUAUUGAUGACGAAAGUCCAGACUUGCUUUGUUGGGAUCUUACCCCUAAUGGAAUUUGUUCUUCUAAAUCUGCAUAUAAACUCUGUUUACAGGAGAUUCAUGCUAAUCCCAGAAAUGCGCCUGCUACUCUUCCUUUGGAUUUGUUAGAUUUUCUCAAAUUAAUUUGGAAACAGAAGGAUUUGCUUCCUAGGGUCAAAACUUUCGCCUGGAGAUUACUUAGAAAGGCCUUGCCUACGGGUUUGCGAGCUGGUCGUUUUUCCAUUCAUAUUUCUAAAAAUUGUUGUCGUUGUGGCCAGCAAGAGGAUGAGUUCCAUCUAUUUUUUCUGUGUAACUUUUCCCGUGCGGCUUGGUUUUCCUCUCCUUGGUUCCUUCAAUCGGAUGCUUUAAUUCAGGGCCAUUCCACUAUGCAUUCUGUUCUUUUUGACUUGCUUCGUAUGGGACAUCCUCAUGAUUCUAUUUCUAGUGUUUUAAAUUUUUUGUGGUGUCUCUGGAAGGCUAGAAAUGAUUUUCUCUUUGAUAGAAAAAAGGCUCUUCCCCACCAAGUUCAUAUUGCAGCUCUUGCUUUAGCUUCUGAUUGUUAUGAUAAUCUUCCAUGUUUACCUUCGAAGCAGGAUCAAGCUCAUAAUCAAUUGCCUCCUAAUCAGCUCCCUAUGCAAGGUAGAACGCUUAAGACAGAUCUGUUAAUUGUUGGCCCUAAGAUCUAUUCUGAUGCUGCUUAUAGGACCAAGAAAGUUCCAGGUUUGUUGCAAGGAGAGGUUGCUAUAGAUGUGGGAGUGUACAUCUCUAUGCCCUUCAACCAGAAGGAAAUUAAUGUGCAAGUUCAAGCUUCGACUUCUCCUACUUCUACUCCUCUACAAGCUGAAGCAUUGGCUCUUUCUUUUGCUGCUCAUCUUGCUUCUCAACUCAAUAUUGCGCAGCCCACUUUUCUUUUGGAUUGUCUUGCUUUAGCUUUGGCUGUUGCCUCAGGUAAUAUUUGUGAUUCUGCCACCCCUUGGAAUAUUAGAAAGUCUUUGGCUAGCUUUUUCAAAUGUACAUCUAAUUUGCAAGCGCACGUGUUUCAUAUUUCUAGAGAAAUCAAUGGUAUUGCUCACAAUCUUGCGCAACAGGUUUUUCGUUCUGAUGGGCACACUCAACUCUCUUGUUUUGCUGCUACUCAUUCUCAAGUUUCUUGUCCUGUGUUGCCCCUUCUUUCAAAUUUCCAGAUUCAGGGUUUUAGAAUUCAUACUAUACAUUGCUACUAA
rnacentral:rRNA from 1 species